rnacentral:snoRNA from 2 species
UUGGAUGAUGAACAUUUUUACAACAUGAAUUUCUUCACCUGAAAUAUUAUGUGGAUUCAGUAAAACAGAGCUUUUUAACCCUGACA